rnacentral:piRNA from 1 species
UCUAAAGACAGGUGGCUCAGGAUCCAGC